rnacentral:misc_RNA from 1 species
GUUUAUCUUCAAUUAUUUACAAAAUUUAGGGCAGCGAUUUAUAUAAUUAAAUAGUUGGAUAAGCUAACACUCAGAGCAAGGCGGCAUUUAUUUUAUCUGCAUCUGCAACGAAAACCCACGAGUCUUCCGAGAGUGUUUGAUCUGAAAGUUAUCUUCUUUUCUCUUUCUUCUGUAUCCUAAGGUUGCUUCUUGAAUUUAUCCUCUAUGUUCCUAAGUCUAAAUUUCUUCUUAAUUCUAGUUAUGUAAUACCGUGUCCUUGCAAUUUUUUUUUUUCAUUUAGUUUUUAAUCUUAUAAUUGGUGGGUUUUUUCUGUUUGGGCGUUGACAAAAUUGAUCUUUAUUCGGGGGAUAAAAGAAGAUAAAGUGGUGGGAUGAGUUGAUGGUUUUUAUUGUUCUUUGGAGUUGUUAGAUUAGGGUUUGUGUUUGUGCUAGUUGUUUUGGAUUGUUGAUCUACUGAGGUUUGCUUUGUGAAUGUUGAUGACUUUUGGUUAAUCACUUUUUUUGUUUUAGUAUCCUACCGGGUAGAAUUCAUGCGCUUAGAUGUACCAGCGUUGUGUGAUGUUGGAUUAUGGAUUUGAGCUAAUAUUCUCAUUGACUAAUUUUUGAGGAAUUAGAAGAGGAAGCUUUAGUUGUUAUUUUUGCUGCUUGUUUUUAUGAAUUGCAAGUUUUGCUCACUAUAAGGUUAGCGUUUUUACUUAUGUUUUAUGUGGUGUUUUUAGGCGGAAUGUCAAAGAGUUACUUCAAGCAAGAGCAUGAUCUCGGUAUGAAUUAGCGUAGUUUUAUAUCUUCAUUAAUUAUUUAAUUGAUAUAAAAAUCAGGGUUUUGACGGCAUGAAUUGUUCUUACCUUCAGACAAGAGACGGGCAGAGGCAGCUAGGAUCAGGGAAAAAUACCCAGAUAGGAUUCCAGUGAGAAUUUAUUUUUUUAUUUUUGUAAUUGUUUACAGUUAAUUCUAAGCCAUGCAAGUUCUUUUCUUACUGUGGUUAGAAGUCUCUGCACUCUUCAGGUGUAUUUUGUAUCAAGGUGUACAUGAUUUAGAAUUAAGUUUAGAAACACUAAAGCGUUAGCAUCUCCAGGAUGUAUUAAAAAGGUACUAUUAAACCAUGUUGAACCGUUGUCAAUGGUUCAAGACAUGAAUUCGAUUGGAACCUUGAACUACAACCUUUAAUGUGAGGUGAUCUGUAUGAAGGUUCAAGGCAUUAGCCAAGUGAUCUUGCACCAAACUGAUUGUGCAAUUAUAUAUUAGGGAUAAUUACAAAAGUUCCCUUCAGAGUUCAUGUGAAGAACAUUUUUAUUCUUUAUUCCCAGUUUUAGGAAAUGUAGAUUUUUUUUUUCCAGUGGGUAAUCCUUUACAGUGAGUUAGUGAUGGAUAUUGAUGUUUUUUGCUUUGUUUCUUCCAUCACACAUUAUGACUAUAUCAUACUUUAAGUAGUCCUGAUGUUAGUUAAAAUGAGACGAUUUUCAACCAGAGGAUAUAGAAGUUGAUUCACAUAUGCCACUUGAUAAAAUCUCAGAUAUAUUUUUUUUACUGCCUGGGCAUAAAUCAAACACGGCUUAAAAUAUCCUAUCUGGGUUUUGAAGCUGAGUUGUCUCUAUAUGUGCUUGUGUUUGCUUUCAAGGUGAUUGUGGAGAAGGCAGAAAGAAGUGAUAUACCAAACAUAGAUAAGAAAAAGUAUCUUGUCCCAGCUGACUUGACUGUGGGACAGUUUGUAUAUGUUAUCCGUAAGAGGAUUAAAUUAAGUGCAGAGAAGGCAAUUUUUAUAUUUGUGGACAAUGUGCUCCCACCUACAGGUAAAUUCUGGUAAAGCUUGUUACAUUUCAUUGUUAGAUACUCUUAUGGACUUUUGGUUGGGAUCUUUGUUGUUGUCUGGUGUUUGUAGGUGCCAUUAUGUCUGCAAUAUAUGAAGAGAAGAAGGAUGAAGAUGGAUUUCUCUAUGUUACCUACAGUGGGGAGAACACAUUCGGAUCUAAUAUCCCACUGUAGCAUUAUUCUGGGGCUUGCAUUGUUUCUUUCGUGGUUUCAUCAUAUUUGAAUCCAUAAGGGUCGUCUUAAUCUCCUGGUGCCCACAGUUUCAUUGUUCUGCCUAAUUAUAAAGAUCCCCCGGUUAUAUUAUGUACAGUCAUAUAUUGUAUAUAACCAUGAAGAUGACUUAUUUAUGUUCAAUCUUAAAUGUUUCUCGGUCCGUUUUAAGGAUCCUUUGCUGGAAAUCUAUUUUACCGAUGGUUAUAGUUUCAGCUUCUAUCAUGUAUUGAAUGAAUUUAUAAUUCAACUGAAAUUUCCUCAAGUUGGUUGCCAGUUGGUCGACUGACCCUGUAAGCGAGUUUAGAGCGUGGAUUGGCAGAAUUCAACAUGCCAGGUCUUAUAGAUGCUCAGCUUGUGUUUGGACGCUGAAAUACAAGACAAGCUGAGCAACAGCUGACACAGGUUAGGCCUGAUUGUUCACAGUGGUGGUUGGGAGGGGUCGGGGGGAUGGUCAGGCCGUAUGGUCUGCAGCUUCCUCGCUUGCCUUGAAUUUUGAUCCGGAAAGAAGUGAAGGUGAACAAAUAGGUUGGUCCUUGGUGUUGGUUGGACCCAUUGAUGUUAACAAAAUAACCAGGAUCCUGGAGAAGG